UUCUCCUUUGCCUGCAGCACGCCCUAUCGCUUCAUCCUGCAAGCGACGCACGCCACCAACACCUCCCCUGUGGCGAUCAGAGCCGCGCGCUAGAUCCAACACCCUCCCCGAAAUCGCGGCGGAUUCCGGCGCCAGCGGCCCUGCUCCAGAUCUGCAUUCCGCGCAGGGGCUUCUCCUGACCACCUCGCGCCCUCGUCUCUCCAAGUUUACUCAGAGCAUCUGUUGCAACCUCUAAUGGAGACAAUUACUGCAUUAUUUCUGCAAAGCAGUUGUUUGGGAACUACUGAAUCGUUGCAUGCUAUCCAGCUAGGAUACGAGAUCCGUUUGGCCA